UGCGACUUAAAUCUUAAACCCAAAGAAGAAAAAGUGGAGGAGGAUGAAGCAGCAAUGAAAGAAUUGCGUCGUUUAAAAUUUUAUGGAGCUGGGCCAAAAAUGGCUGGGUAUGAAGAUGGCCAAGACUUGAAACCAAGAAGUAAGAGUCAUAUAGUUGAUGAACCAGACCCAGUUAAUAAGUAAAAGAACAUUCGCUCAUUGAAAUCCAUUAGCAGCGAGUUAUCAUCAGCAAUGAUGUUAUAAAUUCCAGUGGCGUAUCAACCAGAUUAUGAACAAAA
rnacentral:lncRNA from 1 species